CACAGCUUAGAGCAAGAACAGACAAGUGACAUGAGGAGCUCAGGGACAACACAGCCAGACUUCUCAGAAAUGCCUGUGAGGAGAGGACUCGUUUUCCAGUCGUGUCCAAAGAUGGGGAUUGGACCACACAGCGUGGCUGGGGGGCAACGUUCCCAAGAAAAACCCUCAGCACUCUGUGCCUCCCACCCCCACCCAGACAUUGGUCAACACGCCGAGGUCCUGAUGCCAAGAAGCCCUGGGAAGGGGCCCCUCCUGUCUUCAACCUCUGCUAGGAUGCUGCUCCCAUCCCCAGUGCCGUAUGGAGUAGGCCACCUGGCUCUGCAAGCCUAGCU
rnacentral:lncRNA from 1 species